rnacentral:tRNA from 1 species
GGGGGUGUAGCUCAUCUGGUAGAGCGCGUGCUUAGCAUUUCCCGCUUGGCGAGCAAUUGUCAAGCGUAACAUGUUACCUGCACGAGGUACUGGGUUCGACUCCCAGCUCCUCCA